rnacentral:rRNA from 1 species
UACGAAGGGGCUAGCGUUGCUCGGAAUCACUGGGCGUAAAGGGUGCGUAGGCGGGUCUUUAAGUCAGGGUGAAAUCCUGGAGCUCAACUCCAGAACUGCCUUUGAUACUGAAGAUCUUGAGUUCGGGAGAGGUGAGUGGAACUGCGAGUGUAGAGGUGAAAUUCGUAGAUAUUCGCAAGAACACCAGUGGCGAAGGCGGCUCACUGGCCCGGUACUGACGCUGAGGUGCGAAAGCGUGGGGAGCGAACGAG